rnacentral:misc_RNA from 1 species
GGAAUUUGAACGUAGAGACAGAUGAAAUGUCGCAAGAGAUUUUGCCCAGCGUACUUAAUAAUUCUAGCAGCUCGCAAAGAAAAUAUACUCAAAUUAAGAUAGAAUUUGACCUAUAUCAAGAAACAUUAUAGCGGCUCCGGAAGUGAUUUACUUGACCUGCGCAUGCUCAUUAAGCCCUAGCGGGAAGUGCACGUCGAAGUUCGUCUAAAGAUUUAUUUACCUUAAUAUAAGAAAAACUAUAUAAAACGUAGAAAUAUAUAUAGAAUACAGAAAUGAUUACUAAUUUACUGUAGGAUAACUGUAAAUUAAUUUAAUGAAGUACUUGUGAUAGUUUUAAACCUAAUGAUCUGCUGUGUGUCGCCUAUAUCCUGCUAUUUAUCGAUGUUAAACUGCAAGUGAUAGGAAAAGAAUACACUGAGGUGAGAUAACAUUUAUUUAUGUACAUUGGCAGACGAAACUCCACCUGCAUAUUAUUUACAUAAUAUCGAUAGUUUUUUCCAACCUGUGUUGAUACAUUUUAUAAUUCUAUUGUGUGAAUCAAAAUAUGAACGUUGACGCCAAGACACUUGCUAACUCAGCAAAUUGAUUUGGUAAGGAUAAUGUUCUUGGAUGGGCGGACGGAUGCCAAUAUGUUUUGGUGUAGAUUCUUUUAAAAUUAAAACAACACUGGUUUUUAUAUUACGUAUUCCUUUUUUUAUUACAAAAAAUAGUCCUCGGAUUUUAAUGUUUUGAACAUCAGGGAUUUUCCAUUUUCAUAUGUAAUAAACUGAAAAUGAAAUAACAGUGCUGAUAAUUUCUUGAAGUGAAACAAUACCGCUUUCAAAUGCAGUUGUCUUCAUCAUCUUACAUCCACUUUCCAUGCUGAUAUGGCUUGGACAGCGAGACAUAAAUAGAUGGAUUGCUCCAGUUUCUCUGUUAUUUUGCUUGGUUUCUAUGGCUGGAUGGCCUUCCUAACACAAACCUCUUUAUAGACUGUAUUUGUGCUUUUUUUUCGUGACACUAGCACUAGCUUAGAGGGUGAAAAAGAGAAUGGACGGAGUUAUAACUUCAGGUGAGGUGUUGGAAAAAGUUGUAUACUGGGCGGAAUGGAUGUAUUGUUGGAAGAAGUUACAGUAUGAUGGGAGGAAUGGAUUUAUUGUUGUUUUUGGAGGGUGUUAGAAAGAUUAAUUGAGGGCGAGGUGGAAGAGCCGGAGCACAUUCCCAAAGUAACGUGCUUUACAAGGUGACUACAAAAGAACAUGGUAAUUAUUCUGUUACUAAAGAACAAUAUACUCCUCUUCUUAGAGAGAGUGAACCUAAUAUUCAAAACUGUAUAAUUAAGAAAUUAAUAUUAAGCAUUCAGAGUUAAUAUAUAAUUUAACUCCCGGUUACCAAAAAAAAAAAAAAAAAUGUGUAAAUAGGUGUAAAUAAAUGUGUAGAAAACGAAUAGGAAAACAAAAAUUUACGGUGGUGAGAGAGCUUUCGGAAAAUUCACAAGAUCCGAUUUUCCCCUCAUAACUUUCAGGAAAAUGGAUAUCCUUUUAAUGAAAUUUUACAGAAACACCUUUCAAACCGCAUAGCUUACGAUUAUGAAGAAAUUUUAGGGGAAAAUGUUUUCUGAAGGGGUGAGGAGAAGACUGUCGGAAAAUUCACACGAUCCGUUUUUUCCCCUCAUAGCUUUCAGGAUCUAGUUAAGCACCCGGUCACCAAAACAAAACGAAAAUGAAAACAAAAAUUUGCGCAAACGAAUGGAGGGUGGGUGUUUAGAGGACUAUCAGAAAAUUCACCUGAUCCAAUUUUUUCUCCUCAUAACUUUCAGGAAAAUGGAUACCUUUUAGUGAAAUUUUACAGAAACACCUUUCAAAUGGCAUAGAUUACGAUUAUAAAGAAAUUUGAGUGGAAAAUGUUUUCUGAAAGGAUGGGGAAAGGACUCGGAAAAUUCACAUGAUCUGUUUAGCAUACUUUUCUUAUAGAAAAUAUUUUUUCUUAUACACACAGCUUCUUUUUUUAUUGUUGUUUAUAUUCCACCAAGAUUCCACAAAUUUCUUUAUCAUCAUAAUCUAUGCCGUUUGAAAGGCUAUGGAAAGGUUUACUUGAAACCUAUCCCUCAUUUCAUUUUCGAUAUUGUCACCUUUGAAAACUAGUGCUCGAGAAUUUUGAAGAUAGCACACAUAGAAACAUACACACACAAAAUAUUGAAAGACCGUAGAGAGACAUAAAAGAAUCAAUCUAAAAGCCAGGAAUUCAAUAUCAAAAUAUCUUCAACAAUAUCUUGCAAGAUAUUUAUUUAUAACUUCUCAACAUGAAGAAAGUCUGUUGCACAAGUUCUUCAUAGAGGCAGCCAAGUUAUACCUUCCUCUCUUGAAUUGUUGCCAUCAAAUAAUUACCAGCGAAGAUGAAGGAUAUAUUUCUACGUCUAUGAGGAUUUUCUAUAGAAGAGGUUCUACAGUUAACAGAGCUGAUAUAUAUAUGGUUCUUGAAGAUUUGAGUACCCAAUAUAAUUGCUUCUCAGAUGUGCGUCGUACUUUUUUUGCUUAGAACAGUGCUUCUGAUUUCUUUUAAUUACUAAAAAUUAAAUUACUGGAAAAUUGUUGUCUUUGAGGUCGUUGCCAGUGUCACUGGACUGGCUCCUGUGCAGGUGGCACAUAAAAAACACCAUUUGAGCAUGGCCAUCGCCAGUACCGCCUGACUGGCUCUCGUGCCGGUGGCAUGUAAAAACACC